AGCGAACGCUGGCGGCGUACUUAACACAUGCAAGUCGAACGGGGAUCGUCAGUGUAGCAAUACAUCGGCGGUUCUAGUGGCGCACGGGUGAGUAACACGUGGGUAACCUGCCCUUGAGUUCGGGAUACCCUUUCGAAAGGAAGGCUAAUACCGGAUACGUUCCUCGGAUUGCCAAAUCUGGGGAGGAAAGGUGGCGCAAGCUGCCGCUCUUGGAGGGGCUCGCGGCCUAUCAGCUAGUGGUGAGGUAACGGCUCACCAAGGCUAUGACGGGUAGCUGGUCUGAGAGGACGACCAGCCACACGGGAACUGAGACACGGUCCCGACUCCUACGGGAGGCAGCAGUGGGGAAUUUUCCGCAAUGGGCGAAAGCCUGACGGAGUGACGCCGCGUGGGGACGAAGGCCU
rnacentral:rRNA from 1 species